GGGAUUUUCCCAGGUAAUACAUAAUCUGUGCUAUUCAUUUUAGAUAAAACAAAGUAUCACACGUUCAUAAAUAUAUAUUUAUCAAAUAUAAACUGAAAAGUGGGAACUUGGAAUAUAUUAUAUGUAUAAAACCAGACUUAAGGAUCCACAAAGUCACAAACUGAAAACCUACAGCUCUAGCUUUGUCAUUAAGAUUAACAAACAAAAAAAUGCACACAACUUUUGUUGUCCACACACCCAGUGGUUUCCCUGAAUUGAAAGUCACAGUGUAGUUAGAAUGUUUCUUUCAUAUGGUGAUGGCAUCUAAAGAACAGUCUUAUUGGGAUGUUUUUUUGGAUAGGUAAAAUAUAUGUUGUCUACAUAAAUAGAGGUUUAAAGGGACACUCCGGGCACCAAUACAACGUGCAUUUGAUAGGAUUUGACCACAUUAUUGUGCUGUAUUUUUAUUUUUUUGGUAUUUCUUUUUUUUGUAUGCUUAAGUCUUUAUACGUUUUUGAUAGAUUUUGCAAUUAUUGCAGAAUGCUGAACCAUAAGCCUGCCUCGUUACUCACGCCUCCUCAUGUCAGAAAGACUUUCUUAUCAAAGGUGUGCACACAGUAUCAGCACCAGCAACACUGAAUGAGCUGCUUUUAAUUCACAACUUGGCUUCAGACAGUCAGAGAAACAACAAACAGGCAUUGUUAUCCUUACUAUAUGUCUCCAUGGGUGUUCUCUCCUUCUAAUGCAGGUUGAUUUAUAGAUCAGAUCAAUCAGUAGUGUCAGUCGCUGAGCAGUGUGCGUUCAUUUUUUU